rnacentral:rRNA from 1 species
GACGAACGCUGGCGGCGUGCCUAAUACAUGCAAGUCGAGCGGACCGAACAGGAGCUUGCUCUUGUUCGGUUAGCGGCGGACGGGUGAGUAACACGUGGGUAACCUGCCCGUAAGACCGGGAUAACUCCGGGAAACCGGAGCUAAUACCGGAUAACACCGAAGACCGCAUGGUCUUUGGUUGAAAGGCGGCUUCGGCUGCCACUUACGGAUGGGCCCGCGGCGCAUUAGCUAGUUGGUGAGGGAACGGCUCACCAAGGCGACGAUGCGUAGCCGGCCUGAGAGGGUGCCCGGCCACACUGGGACUGAGACACGGCCCAGACUCCUACGGGAGGCAGCAGUAGGGAAUCUUCCGCAAUGGACGAAAGUCUGACGGAGCGACGCCGCGUGAGCGAAGAAGGUCUUCGGAUCGUAAAGCUCUGUUGUUAGGGAAGAAGAAGCGUCGUUCGAACAGGGCGGCGCGGUGACGGUACCUAACGAGAAAGCCCCGGCUAACUACGUG